rnacentral:rRNA from 1 species
CCUACGGGUGGCAGCAGUGAGGAAUAUUGGUCAAUGGGCGGAAGCCUGAACCAGCCAAGUAGCGUGCAGGAUGACGGCCCUACGGGUUGUAAACUGCUUUUAUACGGGAAUAACGCGCCUUACGUGUAGGGCUUUUCAUGUACCGUAUGAAUAAUGACCGACUAAUGCCGUGCCAGCAGCCGCGGUAAUACGGAAGGUCCGUGCGUUAUCCGGCUUUUUUGUGUUUAAAGGGAGUGUAGGCCGCAUGUCAAGCGUGCUGUGAAAUGUCCGGGCUCAACCCGGGCCUUGAAGCGCGAACUGGCGGGCUUGAGUCCGCGGAAAGCAGGCGGAAUUCGUCGUGUAGCGGUGAAAUGCUUAGAUAUGACGAAGAACCCCGAUUGCGAAGGCAGCUUGCUGCAGCGGAACUGACGCUGAUGCUCGAAAGCGCGGGUAUCGAACAGGAUUAGAUACCCGUGUAGUC